AUUGAACGCUGGCGGCAGGCCUAACACAUGCAAGUCGGGCGAGCGGAGGACGGGUGAGUAAUGUAUGGGGAUCUGCCUGAGGGCGGGGGAUAACUACUGGACACGGUAGCCAAUACCGCAUACCAGCAGAUGAACCCAUAUGGGAUUAGCUAGUAGGUAAGGUAACGGCUUACCUAGGCGACGAGCACUAGCUGGUCUGAGAGGAUGAUCAGCCACACUGGGACUGAGCCACGUCCCAUACUCCGACGGGAGGCAGCAGUGGGGAAUAUUGCACAAUGGGCGCAAGCCUGAUGCAGCCAUGCCGCGUGUAUGAAGAAGGCCUUCGGGUUGUAAAGUACUUUCAGUCGGGAGGCGUUACCGACAGAAGAAGCACCGGCUAACUCCGUGCCAGCAGCCGCGGUAAUUC
rnacentral:rRNA from 1 species